GAUGAGCGUGUGACAAAAGAAGAUCCAAAGAGGGCUCUGGAAGAGCAGUAUGGUGGUGAGGAGGAGUUGCCUCAUACAAACCCUGCGUUCAACAAUUCACCAUUCAAAUUCACAAAAUAUUCAAAUGCAUAUAUGCUUGUUUAUAUUCGUGAAAGUGACAAAGAAAAGAUUAUCUGCAAUGUGGAUGAAAAGGACAUUGCGGAGCAUCUCAGGGUAAGGCUAAAGAAAGAGCAAGAUGAAAAGGAGCAAAAGAGAAAGGAAAAAGCAGAGGCUCACCUUUAUACUAUCAUCAAGGUUGCUCGUGAUGAAGACCUUGGUGAACAAAUUGGAAAGGAGAUCUAUUUUGAUCUUGUGGAUCAUGAUAAAGUGCAUAGUUUUCGUAUUCAGAAGCAGAUGCCAUUUGCUCAAUUCAAGGAGGAAGUUGCUAAGGAAUUUGGCAUACCAGUUCAAUUUCAACGUUACUGGCUAUGGGCAAAGCGCCAGAACCAUACGUAUCGGCCUAAUCGGCCAUUGACACCUCAAGAGGAAGUUCAGUCGGUUGGACAAUUGAGAGAGGUCUCUAAUAAAACAAGUAACGCGGAGCUAAAGCUUUAUUUGGAAGUUGAAGUUGGCCUGGAUUUGCAACCUUGUCCUCCACCUGAGAAGACCAAAGAAGAUAUUCUUCUAUUUUUCAAACUGUAUGACCCUCUAAAAGAGGAGAUAAGGUAUGUUGGGCGGCUCUUUGUAAAAGGAAGUGGCAAGCCACUGGACAUAUUGUCCAAGCUAAAUGAGUUGGCUGGAUUUUCACCUGAUGAAGAGAUUGAACUCUUUGAGGAAAUAAAAUUUGAACCCAAUGUGAUGUGUGAACCUAUUGAUUGCAAUCUAACAUUUUGUAGCAGUCAGCUUGAAGAUGGGGACAUUAUUUGCUUCCAGAAACCCGUUCAGAGUCAAACUAGUGAACAAUGUCGAUUUUCUGAUGUUCCUUCAUUUUUAGAGUAUGUGCACAAUCGCCAGGUUGUUCACUUCCGCUCAUUGGAAAAACCCAAGGAGGAGGAUUUUAGUCUCGAGUUGUCAAAGCUGAACACCUAUGAUGAAGUAGUAGAGAGUUUGGCUCGCCAUCUCCGCUUGGAUGACCCAUCUAAAAUAAGGCUUACAUCACAUAACUGCUACUCACAGCAGCCAAAACCUCAGCCAAUAAAGUAUCGAGGAGUGGACCGUCUUACAGAAAUGCUGGUUCACUAUAAUCAGACUUCAGACAUUUUGUAUUAUGAAGUCCUCGAUAUUCCAUUACCAGAGCUACAGUGCUUAAAAACUCUCAAAGUCGCCUUUUAUAAUGCUGCAAAAUAUGAAGUGACAAUCCAUACUAUUAGAUUGCCAAAACAAAGUACUGUGGAUGAUGUCCUUAAUCAUCUUAAGACAAAGGUUGAGUUGUCACGUCCAGAUGCUGAACUAAGGUUGCUGGAAGUUUUCUAUCACAAGAUAUAUAAGAUUUUUCCACCUACUGAAAGGAUUGAGAACAUAAAUGAUCAGUACUGGACCUUGCGUGCAGAAGAGAUCCCUGAAGAGGAGAAAAACCUGGGUCCUCUUGAUCGUUUGAUUCAUGUUUACCAUUUUACGAAGGACACAACUCAAAACCAAGCACAGCAUGUACAAAACUUUGGCGAACCAUUUUUUUUGGUUAUUCAUGAGGGUGAGACACUGGCUGAAGUUAAAGUGCGCAUUCAGAGAAAAUUGCAGGUUCCACAUGAGGAGUUUUCAAAGUGGGCGUUUGCGUUUGUGUCCAUGGGCCGUCCUGACUACCUCCGGGAUUCAGAUAUUGUAUCUAUUCGUUUUCAGAGGAGAGAUGUUUAUGGUGCUUGGGAG
rnacentral:misc_RNA from 1 species